rnacentral:tRNA from 1 species
GGGCCAGUAGCUCAAUCAGGCAGAGCAGCGGACUCUUAAUCCGGAGGUUGAAGGUUCGAUUCCUUCCUGGCCCA